GCGGGGGUACCCUAGCCAGGUCAAAGGGGUAGGGCUCAGGUCCCUAUGGCGAAGACCUUCGUGGGUUCAAAUCCCACCCCCCGCA
rnacentral:tRNA from 1 species